ensembl:snRNA U6 U6 spliceosomal RNA
GUGCUCGCUUCGGCAGCACAUAUACUAAAAUUAGAAGGAUACAGAGAAGAUUAGCAUGGUCCCUGCACAAGGAUGACACACAAAUUCGUGAAGCGUUCCAUAUUUUU